rnacentral:rRNA from 1 species
AUUGAACGCUGGCGGCAGGCCUAACACAUGCAAGUCGAGCGGUUGAGGUAGCUUGCUACCGAUGCAGCGGCGGACGGGUGAGUAAUACAUGGGAAUCUGCCUGGUAGUGGGGGACAACGUUUCGAAAGGAACGCUAAUACCGCAUACGCCCUACGGGGGAAAGGGGGGGAUCUUCGGACCUCUCGCUAUCAGAUGAGCCCAUGUCGGAUUAGCUUGUUGGUGGGGUAAAGGCUCACCAAGGCGACGAUCCGUAACUGGUCUGAGAGGAUGAUCAGUCACACUGGAACUGAGACACGGUCCAGACUCCUACGGGAGGCAGCAGUGGGGAAUAUUGGACAAUGGGCGCAAGCCUGAUCCAGCCAUGCCGCGUGUGUAAAGAAGGCCUUAGGGUUGUAAAGCACUUUCAGUGGGGAGAAAGGUCAUUCACCUAAUACGUGAGUGAAUUGAUGUUACCCACAGAAGAAGCACCGGCUAACUCCGUGCCAGCCGCCGCAGUAA